rnacentral:rRNA from 1 species
CCUACGGGCGGCAGCAGUGGGGAAUAUUGGACAAUGGGGGCAACCCUGAUCCAGCCAUGCCGCGUGUGUGAAGAAGGCCCUCGGGUUGUAAAGCACUUUCAGUGAGGAAGAACGCCUGGUGGUUAAUACCCAUCAGGAAAGACAUCACUCACGGAAGAAGCACCGGCUAACUCCGUGCCAGCAGCCGCGGUAAUACGGAGGGUGCGAGCGUUAAUCGGAAUUACUGGGCGUAAAGCGCGCGUAGGUGGCUUGAUAAGCCGGUUGUGAAAGCCCCGGGCUCAACCUGGGAACGGCCUCCGGAACUGUCAAGCUAGAGUGCAGGAGAGGAAGGUAGAAUUCCCGGUGUAGCGGUGAAAUGCGUAGAGAUCGGGAGGAAUACCAGUGGCGAAGGCGGCCUUCUGGACUGACACUGACACUGAGGUGCGAAAGCGUGGGUAGCAAACAGGAUUAGAUACCCCUGUAGUC